rnacentral:rRNA from 1 species
AGAGUUUGAUCCUGGCUCAGGACGAACGCUGGCGGCGUGCCUAAUACAUGCAAGUCGAACGAACUCUGGUAUUGAUUGGUGCUUGCAUCAUGAUUUACAUUUGAGUGAGUGGCGAACUGGUGAGUAAUACGUGGGAAACCUGCCCAGAAGCGGGGGAUAACACCUGGAAACAGAUGCUAAUACCGCAUAACAACUUGGACCGCAUGGUCCGAGCUUGAAAGAUGGCUUCGGCUAUCACUUUUGGAUGGUCCCGCGGCGUAUUAGCUAGAUGGUGGGGUAACGGCUCACCAUGGCAAUGAUACGUAGCCGACCUGAGAGGGUAAUCGGCCACAUUGGGACUGAGACACGGCCCAAACUCCUACGGGAGGCAGCAGUAGGGAAUCUUCCACAAUGGACGAAAGUCUGAUGGAGCAACGCCGCGUGAGUGAAGAAGGGUUUCGGCUCGUAAAACUCUGUUGUUAAAGAAGAACAUAUCUGAGAGUAACUGUUCAGGUAUUGACGGUAUUUAACCAGAAAGCCACGGCUAACUACGUGCCAGCAGCCGCGGUAAUACGUAGGUGGCAAGCGUUGUCCGGAUUUAUUGGGCGUAAAGCGAGCGCAGGCGGUUUUUUAAGUCUGAUGUGAAAGCCUUCGGCUCAACCGAAGAAGUGCAUCGGAAACUGGGAAACUUGAGUGCAGAAGAGGACAGUGGAACUCCAUGUGUAGCGGUGAAAUGCGUAGAUAUAUGGAAGAACACCAGUGGCGAAGGCGGCUGUCUGGUCUGUAACUGACGCUGAGGCUCGAAAGUAUGGGUAGCAAACAGGAUUAGAUACCCUGGUAGUCCAUACCGUAAACGAUGAAUGCUAAGUGUUGGAGGGUUUCCGCCCUUCAGUGCUGCAGCUAACGCAUUAAGCAUUCCGCCUGGGGA